rnacentral:misc_RNA from 1 species
AAGUCGUAACAAGGUUUCCGUAGGUGAACCUGCGGAAGGAUCAUUAAAAAAGGGUCGCAAGACCCAUUUUAAAACCUACCACGCCUGUCUAUGGGUGAUAUGGAGGAGGUAUGGUUUUUAAAAUCCAAUUAUUAUAAAUAUAUAUAUCGUCUAACGACGAAAUAAAAAAAUUAUAAAAA